AUCAUGAGGGUAGUAUUUUAUCAUGGUGUCGGAUCCUAAGUUUUUAUGGAUUCCUUCUUUGUUGCUUCUAUUCGGUCCAUUUUAUUUGUGUGUAUAGAUGUAUAAAUGUGUUUACUUGACGCUAUGUGCUGAUAUGAUAAGUUCACUCGAGGAUGUGUGUCCGUGAGUGACUGUGGUUUGUUGGUGAUUUUCGUGUGGGGGUUUGUCAGGUGUCCGUGAGUGAUUGUGGUUUGUUGGUGAUUUUCGUGUUGGGGUUUUUCAGGCAUGGGGAUUGGUCUUUUGGUCCCAAAUGUGGCUGGUGAUUAUUUAUGUGUUUCUUAAGAAUUAGCUGCGUUCAUCAUCUAUUAUCUCAGAGAUUUUGAGCCAUCUGCUGGCUUAAUUCGUGCAGAUAUGGCAUUUGUUUAUCUUUCCGACUUGAAGGGCGAUGAGGAAGACUGGGUUAUAAGGGUGCGCGUUUGCAGGAUGUGGGAGUCUAUCAGUACAAAGGAUGGCAGUUUGCUAAGCAUGGAUAUGAUACUGGCCGAUGAAAAGUCUCCGGUGAUUACAGUGAUGUUAAAAGUACACAUGCAUUGUGAGCCUUCUGCUCAAGUGAUCAAGAAAUGAAUUGAGAUUGAGCGAAUGAAAGUUCAGGUUCCUCAAGAAACUUUGCAAUGCGAGCUAAAGAAAUCUUUGCUUCAAUGAAAAACACCCGCAACAUCAGAUCAUCAAGUGCAUCAGAUAUUAAUAAGAAGCUUAUCUAUGGAAGUGAAGUUCAUGUUCUUCACGUGGGAAAACUAUCUAUGAGGUUACUGGUAUGUGAAGAUCCCUGUUUAGAGCAAUACCUCAUGUACUUGCUUGAGAAAUGGAGAGGAAGCUCCUGAUGAGAAUCGUCAGAGAAAUCUUGCUGAUGAUUUAUGAGCUCAAGUCGUUGUUGAGCUUUUUUUGAUACCUAUGUGGAGAGGAUUCAACGGCCCUAUGUUUUGGGUGGCAAGCCAGAGACAAAAAAUUCUGUUUUCAUGUUAGAUAGAAGUUCAGAUAGUUUGAUCAAUAUAGCAAACUAUGGAGGGUUAUGGUCACUAUGAUAUAGUGGAGGUUCCAAAUAAAUACUAGAAGAACCUGGAGCUUAGCACCGAAGUCUGAGUUAUUUUGAGUAAUGCAAGUUGUAUGUUAAAAAAAAAGUGUUAAUUUCAAAUAGAGAAAACAUAGAAUUAUUAUAAUUAAAAAAUACA